rnacentral:rRNA from 1 species
GCCACGGAGGCAGCAGUGGGGAAUAUUGGGCAAUGGGCGCAAGCCUGACCCAGCAACGCCGCGUGAAGGAAGAAGGCUUUCGGGUUGUAAACUUCUUUUAUGAGGGACGAAACAAAUGACGGUACCUCAUGAAUAAGCCACGGCUAACUACGUGCCAGCAGCCGCGGUAAUACGUAGGCGGCAAGCGUUAUCCGGAUUUACUGGGUGUAAAGGGCGUGUAGGCGGGACUGCAAGUCAGAUGUGAAAAUUAUGGGCUCAACCCAUAACCUGCAUUUGAAACUGUAGUUCUUGAGUGAUGGAGAGGC